GGCCCUAUGGUCUAGAGGUAAGAUACUUGCUUUGGGAAAUAUCAAUUUAACCUCCUGCAAGGGAUCCUGGGUUCGAAUCCCAGUGGGGCCC